rnacentral:lncRNA from 1 species
AAAUUUUGGGAGAGUUUGUAUUCUCAUGGAUUUCUCUAAGCCACUCUCUCGAGGAGUUUGGAUCAAGAUGGGAAACUAUUAAGUUUUUCCAAUCGGCAGCAUAUGAAAAUAUUCCAUUACUUUUGUUUCAAUUGUGGGAUGGUUGGCUACCAGACCAAGAUUUUUACUCUAUAGGGAGGGUCAUCGUCCAAGGCUUCAGCGCUAGCUCAAAGGGAG